AAAUCACCAAGCAAGAGAACAGGAUGGAGAAUAACCAGACGGGAGCAAUCGGAGGUGCUAUUUCAGGAGCUGGCUAUUCUUCAAGUCAGAAGGCCUGAGAGAGGAGCUGCCCAGGUGGUCUUCAUGGGGCUGUGCGGCCAGCCAACCCCAACAGGAAGGCCCAUUCCUGAGUGAUGCCAGACAUAUCCCCAUUGACCUCCACACCAUCCUGCAUUGAGUGGGAGCAUCUCUUUUAUCUCUGCAAGGCCUCUCCAUUACCCACAGGCUGGCAAGCUCUCCUCCUGAGAAGUUUCCUAAAGCAGAUGCUUCAUAGAAGCAGGAAAGGAGAAAAGGAAGAAGAAAGGGAGGGGAAGCUA